rnacentral:rRNA from 1 species
CAUGCAGGCGGUCGGACGCGUUUCCAGUGACAGCGGGUGGCUUACCUACCCGAGCAUUGGAAAGACGGUUGGACUUGAGGACUCGAGAGGGACACGGAAUUCCGGGUGGAGUGGUGAAAUGCGUAGAGAUCCGGAGGAACAUCAAAGGCGAAGGCAGUGUCCUGGCGAGUGACUGACGCUGAGGUGCGAAAGCCAGGGGAGCGAACGGGAUUAGAUACCCCGGUAGUCCUGGCCGUAAACGAUGACCACCAGGUGUGGGAGGUAUCGACCCCUUCUGUGCCGGAGUAAACACAUUAAGUGGUCCGCCUGGGGAGUACGGUCGCAAGAUUAAA